rnacentral:lncRNA from 1 species
GGGGAGUUUUGGGGACCCCCUGGGGUUAUUGGGGGGGGCCCUAACCCCAAUCCCACCCCCCAAACCCCAAUUCCUCCCUCCCUUGCGGCAGCUCUUGGAUCCGGAGCCGUCGGAGCCGAUGGCGGCCGAGACCUACGGGAACUUCGACACUCAGUCCCGCCGCUAUUACUACCUGAGCCAGGAGCCCCCCGAGGAGGGGUCGGGGCAGCGCUGCCGUGAGCUGGAGCAGCAGGUGGCCACGCUGCAGGAGGAGAAGGGGCACCUGGCCGCCGAGAACCGCGCGCUGCGGGAGCAGCUCGAGCGCGACGCCGCC